UCCGGAAGUUUUAAGGUUUCUUCUUCUCGCUCGCGCUCGCCAUCGGCGGUUCCUGAAAUCCUCUCAAGGGGCGAAGCCAUGAGUUUGAUCUCAACGCGCUUGCGGAUCCAAUCCACGGCUCCAGCAAGUGCAGGUCAGGGGAUUUCUCGGAGCCUCUCGAGCCAGAGCCAGAGCCAGGCCGGGAGUCGCCGGCUGAAUCGAUCCAGCCAUCUGUGCCUAGGGAGCAGUUUUCUAUCGUGGAGGUCUUAAAGAAAUCAAAUUGUUUUGUGCCUCAUGUCGCUCUCGCGGAUACUAUGCACCUGCACUCAGGUUUCUGAUGUUUGCUGUGAGGGUUAAUUCCAGCGAGAAGGACUUUCUCGAAGCGUUUAGGAGACCAGCUGCUAUUUUUGCUGGCUAUCUCGGCCAGUACAUUGUGAAGCCUCUUCUUGGUUUUUUCUUUGGCAUCAUGUCCGUAACAAUGUUUUCGCUCCAACGUCCAUUGGUGCUGGGAUUAUGCUGGUGUCUUGUGUGAGCGGGGCUCAGCUUUCUAAUUAUGCUACAUUUCUGACUGACCCAUCAAUGGCUCCUCUGAGUAUUGUCAUGACAUCAUUAUCUACCGCUACGGCUGUUUUUGUGACCCCUUUGUUGUCACUUCUUCUCAUUGG